rnacentral:rRNA from 1 species
UACGAAGGGGGCUAGCGUUGUUCGGAAUUACUGGGCGUAAAGGGCUCGUAGGCGGCCAACUAAGUCAGACGUGAAAUCCCUCGGCUUAACCGGGGAACUGCGUCUGAUACUGGAUGGCUUGAAUCCGGGAGAGGGAUGCGGAAUUCCAGGUGUAGCGGUGAAAUGCGUAGAUAUCUGGAGGAACACCGGUGGCGAAGGCGGCAUCCUGGACCGGUAUUGACGCUGAGGCGCGAAAGCUAGGGGAGCAAACGGG